CUGCCGGGAAAACACUGUAGCUGCCGGAAAAAUUCAAAGUUGUCGGAAUUGAAAAGUAAAAAAUAUGGAUAGGCUCGGAAUUCAAGGGUGAGCAAACUGUCCUGAAGAAAUUCUAGCCGGAAAGUACUGUAGCUGCCGGAAAAGUCACUGUAGGUCGUCGGAAAAAAUCAAAGUUGUCGGAAUCGAACAAAAAGUGGAUGGGUAGGGUCGGAAUUGUAUUCCGAGCAAUCUGUUCUGAAGGAGCGAAGCCAAAAAANNNNNNNN
rnacentral:lncRNA from 1 species